rnacentral:rRNA from 1 species
AACGAACGCUGGCGGCAGGCCUAACACAUGCAAGUCCAGCGAGGACUUCGGUCCUAGCGGCGGACGGGUGAGUAACGCGUGGGAACGUGCCCUUUGCUUCGGAAUAGCCCUGGGAAACUGGGAGUAAUACCGGAUGAGCCCUUUGGGGGAAAGAUUUAUCGGCGAAGGAUCGGCCCGCGUUGGAUUAGGUAGUUGGUGGGGUAAUGGCCUACCAAGCCGACGAUCCAUAGCUGGUUUGAGAGGAUGAUCAGCCACACUGGGACUGAGACACGGCCCAGACUCCUACGGGAGGCAGCAGUGGGGAAUCUUAGACAAUGGGGGAAACCCUGAUCUAGCCAUGCCGCGUGAGCGAUGAAGGCCUUAGGGUUGUAAAGCUCUUUCAGCUGGGAAGAUAAUGACGGUACCAGCAGAAGAAGCCCCGGCUAACUCCGUG